GAUGAACGCUGGCGGCGCGCCUAACACAUGCAAGUCGAACGAUUAAAGCACCUUCGGGUGUGUAUAAAGUGGCGAACGGCUGAGUAACACGUGGGCAACCUGCCCCUCUCAUUGGGAUAGCCACGGGAAACCGUGGAUAAUACCGAAUACUUCGAGACUUCCGCAUGGAAGACUCGAGAAAGCUCCGGCGGAGAGGGAUGGGCCCGCGGCCUGUUAGCUUGUUGGUGGGGUAACGGCCUACCAAGGCAAUGAUGGGUAGCUGGGUUGAGAGACCGACCAGCCAGAUUGGGACUGAGACACGGCCCAGACUCCUACGGGAGGCAGCAGUGGGGAAUCUUGCACAAUGGGCGAAAGCCUGAUGCAGCGACGCCCCGUGCGGGAUGAAGGCCUUCGGGUUGUAAACCGCUUUCAGCAGGGACGAGGCGAAAGUGACGGUACCUGCAGAAGAAGCCCCGGCUAACUACGUGCCAGCAGCCGCGGUAAUACGUAGGGGGCAAGCGUUAUCCGGAUUCAUUGGGCGUAAAGCGCUCGUAGGCGGUCUGUUAGGUCGGGAGUUAAAUCCGGGGGCUCAACCCCCGUUCGCUCCCGAUACCGGCAGACUUGAGUUUGGUAGGGGAAGGUGGAAUUCCUAGUGUAGCGGUGGAAUGCGCAGAUAUUAGGAAGAACACCAGUGGCGAAGGCGGCCUUCUGGGCCAUAACUGACGCUGAGGAGCGAAAGCUAGGGGAGCAAACAGG
rnacentral:rRNA from 1 species